ACCAUCAAAAAUUGAUGAUUUAACUUGACAAGUCUGUCGUAGCAUAGUCGAACAUAAACUUUUACGAAGGACUUCAAAAUUAUAAGCGAAAUAAAGAGCCAACGAGGAAAAAGCCAUGUUUUACCGUCAAGUCGCUUUGCUUCUUCUGUGUAGCUUCACCUUCAUCCCCGAUGGAACAAAGACGGAAUUUCUGUUCAAGAAUGCUGAUUUGAAGAUAGUCGACUUUCAUCUCAUGAAAUCUUCCUAUAUUAAGGAGGAGUCUAUCUACUUGGGUUCCCAGACGAUUGUUAAGGAUUGGUUUAAAUGCUAUUCCAAAUGCCUGGACUUGAUCGAACCAUGCAUGUCCUUCAAUUUCAAAUAUCUGGCCCCAGAGCAAUAUUUGUGUCAGCCAUCAGCGGUCAAGCCUCAUUUAGACAGCGCCAAAGUGCUGAAUGGCGUUGCAGCCCAGGAAGUUUGGUACAUGCCGGACCCAAUAUUAUAACCCAGUUGUUGACGAGUGAUACUCACAACCAAGCACUUGCACAUCUAACUAAUUGGAAAACUGGAAUGCAAUGGUGUUCUUCAUCAGGAAAGCAAAUGCUACGUUGAGACUGGACACAAGUAAAAAUUCUGAAUCAUAAACCGAUAAACCUGAGAACGAUUAACCUUUGACACGAGGGACAAUUUGUCUUUCUGACACUUAGUUGCACCGAUUCAACUUGAGUUACAGAUCUCAAUCAGCUAAACUAUUCCGCUUUAUAUAAUAGAAUUUACUUCUUGAAAUAACAUCUGGUACUUCUAACUCUGUGAACCUAGAAAAGUAGGCUCUCUCAUCACCUCUAUUAUUAUAAGUAUAGUCAGAUAUCACUACUAGCAGUGUAGUCUUUGCCAUUACCUCUAAAGUAUUUUCAGUUGUAAUGUGAGAUAAUGUAUAUCAAAAAUUUGGAAUAUA